rnacentral:rRNA from 1 species
CCAGACUCCUACGGGAGGCAGCAGUGGGGAAUAUUGCACAGUGGGGGAAACCCUGAUGCAGCGACGCCGCGUGAGUGAAGAAGUAUUUCGGUAUGUAAAGCUCUAUCAGCAGGGAAGAAAAUGACGGUACCUGACUAAGAAGCCCCGGCUAACUACGUGCCAGCAGCCGCGGUAAUACGUAGGGGGCAAGCGUUAUCCGGAUUUACUGGGUGUAAAGGGAGCGUAGACGGCCAGACAAGUCAGAAGUGAAAGCCUAGGGCUCAACCCUGGGACUGCUUUUGAAACUGCCGGGCUGGAGUGCAGGAGAGGUAAGCGGAAUUCCUAGUGUAGCGGUGAAAUGCGUAGAUAUUAGGAGGAACACCAGUGGCGAAGGCGGCUUACUGGACUGUAACUGACGUUGAGGCUCGAAAGCGUGGGGAGCAAACAGGAUUAGAUACCCGUGUA